rnacentral:rRNA from 1 species
GACGGAGGGUGCUAGCGUUGUUCGGAAUCACUGGGCGUAAAGGGCGCGUAGGCGGCCAGGCAAGUCGGCUUGUGAAAGCCCGGGGCUCAACCCCGGAGGUGCGGCCGGGACUGCUUGGCUGGAGGCCGGAAGAGGAGGGUGGAAUACCCAGUGUAGAGGUGAAAUCCGUAGAUAUUGGGUGGAACACCGGUGGCGAAAGCGGCUCUCUGGUCCGGUUCUGACGCUGAGGCGCGAAAGCGUGGGGAGCAAACAGG